UACGUAGGUGACAAGCGUUGUCCGGAUUUACUGGGCGUAAAGAGCGCGCAGGCGGUCGUUCAAGUCGAGUGUGAAAGCCCCCGGCUCAACUGGGGAGGGCCAUUCGAUACUGAUCGACUCGAAGGCAGGAGAGGGUAGUGGAAUUCCCGGUGUAGUGGUGAAAUGCGUAGAUAUCGGGAGGAACACCAGUGGCGAAGGCGACUACCUGGCCUGUUCUUGACGCUGAGGCGCGAAAGCUAGGGGAGCAAACGGG
rnacentral:rRNA from 1 species